rnacentral:rRNA from 1 species
AGGGUUUGAUCAUGGCUCAGGACGAACGCUGGCGGCGUGCCUAAUACAUGCAAGUAGAACGCUGAAGGAGGAGCUUGCUUCUCUGGAUGAGUUGCGAACGGGUGAGUAACGCGUAGGUAACCUGCCUGGUAGCGGGGGAUAACUAUUGGAAACGAUAGCUAAUACCGCAUAACAGUAGAUGUUGCAUGACAUUUGCUUAAAAGGUGCAAUUGCAUCACUACCAGAUGGACCUGCGUUGUAUUAGCUAGUUGGUGGGGUAACGGCUCACCAAGGCGACGAUACAUAGCCGACCUGAGAGGGUGAUCGGCCACACUGGGACUGAGACACGGCCCAGACUCCUACGGGAGGCAGCAGUAGGGAAUCUUCGGCAAUGGACGGAAGUCUGACCGAGCAACGCCGCGUGAGUGAAGAAGGUUUUCGGAUCGUAAAGCUCUGUUGUAAGAGAAGAACGAGUGUGAGAGUGGAAAGUUCACACUGUGACGGUAUCUUACCAGAAAGGGACGGCUAACUACGUGCCAGCAGCCGCGGUAAUACG